CGUCUCGCGCGCAGCAUGCAUCGAGCCGAGCCGCGUGUGUGAGAAGGUCUUCGGAUUGUAAGCACUUUAAGUUGGGAGGAAGGGCAGUAAGUUAAUACCUUGCUGUCUUGACGUUACCGACAGAAUACGCACCGGCUAACUCUGUGCCAGCAGCCGCGGUAAUAUAA
rnacentral:rRNA from 1 species